rnacentral:rRNA from 1 species
UACGUAGGGUGCAAGCGUUGUCCGGAAUUAUUGGGCGUAAAGAGCUCGUAGGCGGUUUGUCGCGUCUGCUGUGAAAACCCGAGGCUCAACCUCGGGCCUGCAGUGGGUACGGGCAGACUAGAGUGUGGUAGGGGAGACUGGAAUUCCUGGUGUAGCGGUGGAAUGCGCAGAUAUCAGGAGGAACACCGAUGGCGAAGGCAGGUCUCUGGGCCGCAAC